UACGAAGGGGGCUAGCGUUGUUCGGAAUCACUGGGCGUAAAGGGCGCGUAGGCGGCCGUUCAAGUCGGGGGUGAAAGCCUGUGGCUCAACCACAGAAUUGCCUUCGAUACUGUACGGCUCGAGACCGGAAGAGGUAAGUGGAACUGCGAGUGUAGAGGUGAAAUUCGUAGAUAUUAGGAAGAACACCAGUGGCGAAGGCGGCUCACUGGUCCGGUACUGACGCUGAGGUGCGAAAGCGUGGGGAGCAAACAGG
rnacentral:rRNA from 1 species